rnacentral:rRNA from 1 species
GACGAACGCUGGCGGCGUGCUUAACACAUGCAAGUCGAACGAUGAAGCCGGAGCUUGCUCUGGUGAAUUAGUGGCGAACGGGUGAGUAACACGUGAGUAACCUGCCCUUGACUCUGGGAUAACUGCUAGAAAUGGUAGCUAAUACCGGAUACGACCCUCGGCGGCAUCGCCAGGGGGUGGAAAGAAUUUCGGUCAAGGAUGGAGUCGCGGCCUAUCAGCUAGUUGGUGAGGUAACGGCUCACCAAGGCGACGACGGGUAGCCGGCCUGAGAGGGUGACCGGCCACACUGGGACUGAGACACGGCCCAGACUCCUACGGGAGGCAGCAGUGGGGAAUAUUGCACAAUGGGCGCAAGCCUGAUGCAGCAACGCCGCGUGAGGGAUGACGGCCUUCGGGUUGUAAACCUCUUUUAGUAGGGAAGAAGCGAAAGUGACGGUACCUGCAGAAAAAGCACCGGCUAACUACGUGCCAGCAGCCGCCGCGG